rnacentral:rRNA from 1 species
GACGAACCUUGCUAACGUUAUUCGGAAUUACUGGGCUUAAAGGGUGCGUAGGUGGCGCCGUAAGUCGGGUGUGAAAUUUCGGAGCUUAACUCCGAAACUGCAUUCGAUACUGCGGUGCUUGAGGACUGGAGAGGAGACUGGAAUUCAUGGUGUAGCAGUGAAAUGCGUAGAGAUCAUGAGGAAGACCAGUGGCGAAGGCGGGUCUCUGGACAGUUCCUGACACUGAGGUACGAAGGCCAGGGGAGCAAACGGG